rnacentral:lncRNA from 1 species
UUAGUGCAUAUCAAGUGGUAAUCAGAGCAUAUUCCAAAAAAAAAGGGCCGAAAUAUGGUAAAUUGUCUAUAUUCUUGUUCUUCAUUAUUAUCCAUUUAUCAUUAUAAAAAAAAUUGAAAAAAAAAAGGGUAUAAGAAAAAAAUUGAAAAAAAAGGGAUCUGAUUGUUAAAGAUUGUGAUUAAAAAAAAAUCUUUUUUUUUUCUUGCCACACUCUUAAAGUUCUUCUGGUUUCCUUUAUUUUAGAGUCUUUUUUUUUGUUUGCUGUUUU